GCACAGCAGAGGCGCAGGCGCAGCACGCAGCCGCUUCCGCCACACUUUGGGGAGCAGUCUACCGCUCCGCACCCGCCUCGCGUGGUUCCCGAGGUUGAACACGACACCGAGGCUCCGGUUUUAAUAUGCAGAAGCGAAGAGGAAGGACAGGGAGACUCAGAAGGCAAAGGCGAAGUUCUGACACAAGAGGAGUGAACGAGAGCUACAGACCAGAAUUUAUAGAGCUGAGAAAAUGGCUGAAAGAUAGAAAGUUUGAAGACACAGGCUUAGUACCUGCCUGCUUUCCAGGAACAGGAAGAGGGCUGAUGAGCAAAACGUCACUGCAGGAGGGACAGAUGAUUAUCUCAUUGCCUGAGAGCUGUCUGCUCACCACGGACACCGUGAUUCGAAGCUCCUUAGGGCCCUACAUUAAGAAGUGGAAGCCUCCUCCAUCUCCUCUGCUGGCCCUGUGCACUUUUCUCGUCUCAGAGAAGCAUGCAGGCGGUCAGUCCCUCUGGAAGUCCUACCUGGACAUUUUACCCAAGUCGUACACCUGCCCGGUCUGCUUGGAGCCGGAAGUGGUAGAUCUUCUGCCCGGACUUUUAAAGGCGAAGGCAGAGGAGCAGAGAGCCCACGUGCAGGACUUGUUUGCCUCCUCCAGAGCCUUCUUCUCCACCCUGCAGCCUCUGUUUGCAGAGUCUGUGGAGAACGUUUUCAGCUACAGCGCCUUCCUGUGGGCCUGGUGCACCGUGAACACCAGAGCUGUGUACCUGAGGUCCAGGAGGAAGGAAUGCCUUUCCGCAGAGGCAGACACGUGUGCCCUUGCUCCGUACCUGGAUCUGCUGAAUCACAGCCCACACGUCCAGGUAAAAGCAGCGUUCAACGAGAAAACCGGCUGCUAUGAGAUUAGAACGGCCUCCGGCUGCAGGAAGCACCAGGAAGUGUUCAUCUGCUACGGCCCCCAUGAUAACCAGCGGCUGCUCCUGGAGUACGGCUUCGUCCCCUUCUGCAAUCCUCACGCCUGUGUUCCUGUCCCAGGAGAGAUGCUGGUGAAGUACCUCCCACUUGCGGAUAAGCAGGUGCACAAGAAGAUGUCCAUUCUGAAGGAUCAUGGCUUUACAGAAAAUUUGACAUUCGGAUGGGAUGGACCUUCUUGGAGGUUACUCACAGCUCUCAAGUUGUUGUGUCUGGAAGCUGAGAAAUUUACAUCCUGGAAAAAAGUACUCCUUGGAGAAGUCAUCUCAGAUACAAACGAGAAGACAAGCUUGGACAUGGCACAGAGAAUAUGCUCUGACUUCAUCGAAGAGACUCAUGCUGUGCUGCGUAAGGUUUCUGACAUGAAGGAAAGGGAAGUGUUGCUGAUAAAUCAACUCACUUUGGUGGAAGCAUUGCGGAUGGAAGAGCUGAGGAUUCUCCAGGCUUCCGCUGAGAUUGUGAGCAGUUUACAAGCCUCCUUUUUGUGACAGCACAGGGCACAUGUGAUUCCCUCCUGUGGAGGGUAUACUUUCUGCAUUUUUACUGAGUGAACUUCGAAGAGCAUCUUCGUGGGAUGGAAUGGUGGCUGCUCCCCGCACUGGGAAGGCUAUCUGCAGGGAGCAGAGGAGGGUUCUAGGCACUGGGUAGCUGAGGACAGACAUACAGCUGAGUCACACUUGUCAUUCAGUGGGAAGGAACAGGGUGGAGUGGUGGAGGGCAGAGUGGGAAGCUGUAAGGCUGGGCAGCCAUGGCGUCUUCCACGGCAGUUCACUCACUGGCCGUUAAUGGUCAAGAGGGAACCGCUAAGACUCUCAGGUACUCUUGGCUUAAGGGACCAGUUGGGGCCAGGUGGCUCUGGUGGCGUUGUGAGGGUUGACAGUGUUGGGCCUUCCCCGUGUGGACUCACUGAGGGACGUGAGCUAGGGGCCUUCUUGUCUUCCCGAGGACAGCGUGCUGAGGGCCUCUUGCAGGCCACAGGCAGGGAAGGACUGAGUCACACAGGUCAGUCUUUUGGCCCUGUCCUGACACUUUCCCUGUGGCAUGGUGUCCCUUGUUCCCAGAAGGCUCUGGGAGGAGAAAUGGCAGAAGGCACAGGGCCAGGGGUUAGGACCAGUGCGCGGGGCGGGGGCGGGGGUGGGGGCGGG